rnacentral:misc_RNA from 1 species
UGGAAGUAAAAGUCGUAACAAGGUCUCCGUUGGUGAACCAGCGGAGGGAUCAUUACCGAGUUUACAACUCCCAACCCUAUGUGAACCUUACCAUUCUGUUGCUUCGGCGGGAUCGUCCCGGGUGCGGUCGAAAGGCCAGCCCCGGAUCAAGGCGCCCGCCGGGGACCUAAACUCUUCUGAUUUUUAUCGGUUUUCUUCUGAGUGGCUUAUUAAAGCAAAAAUGAAUCAAAACUUUCAACAAUGGAUCUCUUGGCUCUGGCAUCGAUGAAGAACGCAGCGAAAUGCGAUAAGUAAUGUGAAUUGCAGAAUUCAGUGAAUCAUCGAAUCUUUGAACGCACAUUGCGCCCGCCAGUAUUCUGGCGGGCAUGCCUGUUCGAGCGUCAUUUCAACCCUCGAACCCCUCCGGGGGAUCGGUGUUGGGGACCGGCCCUGCCUAGCAGCGGGUUGCCGCCCCCUAAAUUCAGUGGCGGCCUCGUCGCAGCCUCCCUUGCGUAGUAGCUCUUUUGAAACCUCGCACCGGAGCGCGUCGUGGCCACGCCGUAAAACCCCAACUUUCUGAAAGGUUGACCUCGAAUCAGGUAGGAAUACCCGCUGAACUUAAGCAUAUCAAUAAGCGGAGGAA